UUCAAAAUAUAGCUUUGGUAAUAAAUGAUUUCAUUCAUUUUCAUGCCAGUAGUUAUCUGUUACUCUGAGACCCUGAGAACAAUGUCGUAUCGCAGUUACCUAAGCCGCCCGAUGUUCGCGUAUUGUUGAAACAACCUUUAAAAAACCAGUAUGGGAGAGGUUUAGACUUUUACAACCCCAUUUGAAGGAUUACCUAAUCCACAAAUGAAUGGUGACAGUUGGUUAAAACACAAUUCAAAAACCGCAAGUAGUUAUAAAAUGGGCUGAAGUAUGGCCACAAAGUUCUGCGUUUUCCGACUUACCAUUGAGGUUUCAAUCCCAUUGAACUGGCAUCGAACAAGUUUUAUCAUUCUUUAGGUACAUCGAUGUCAUUUAAACAUGGAAGAGUGCAUUAACUGAAAUAACUCCAGACGUAUGGAAUCACUGUGUAACACACCAAGAAGAAACAAUCAAGAAUGCAUUCAAGUAUGAGAAAAUUGUGGACGAUGUACGGCCUUCAGUAUGGAAUAAUGUGUCUUGUCUGCGGGUUUAUCUAGUACCUAAUUUUCCUCUCGCAGCGGUAUCUGGUGAGACUAAAGAGAACCGAUAUGGUUAUGUUUCUGUUUUCCACUAAACUGGUAUUUUCAGUCCACGUUAAACUUUUUUACCUGUUUAAUUAGGAAAUUUGUAUCAUCUGCAUAACAUACUAUAUUAACAUUUCGACUGGACAUAUAACUAGCUAAAUCAUUGGAGUAGAUCACAUACAACAGGAGCCCCAACACAGAUCCCUGAGGAACUCCUUGCGUUACACAGCGCAAAUCGCUGAAUGCGGUAUUAAGCUUCACUAUUUGAUGGCGUUCUGUAAUCCAGAGCGCAUGACUAACGAAGUUCUUCAGUCUGUUUUUUCGUCUAACUCGAAAACAACACCAACAAAAACCUUCACCAAUAAAUUUCUACGAGUUCAAGGAUCAGUGCUAUUGAUUAUGAUCGAGCCGUGUUUCCGAAUACGAGUUGAGUAUCAAGAAAUUCCCCUACUGAAAAGCGUAUGCGAAUCUUCGUAUCUUGUUACAGGUACGGCUAGCUCCAUUGGUUCAAUCACUUUACCUUACGACUCCCAAAAGAUUAAAUUAUGGAUCUUUACCCGAAGGCUGAGGUCAUUUAACCAUUCUGGCUUCUUUACACAGCAAGCCACUGCUCAAUCAGGUUGACAAUAAAAAAUCAAGUAAACGGUUGAACUGUAUACUAAGUGUAAAAUUUUCGUUUACCCUUAUUGGAAUAAUUUAGGGGUUCCUAGCGGUUAACUAAAUUGAUUUGAUACAAGAAAAUUAAAUCUAAAAAAUUCUACGGCACCCCUUCUAACUUUUUCAGUCCUAAUCAGGGGUUGGA